GUGUUUGUCUCCUGGGAUGCUGUGGGGUUGACCCUGGAUAGCAUUCACGGUCAUUAGCUCAUGGUGUUCUUGGGAGACAUUUGAAGUCAGCUGGUGUCCUGCUGAUGGAGCUGCUGAGUUCAGCAUCACGUCGACAUAAUUUCAUGAUGCGUUUGCAUGAAGGGCUUUGGUGCCAUUUCUGAGUGAUCAGAAGCCUCCUGGAUCCUAUUCUGGCCCAUCGUGGCAUGGUCAGCAAAUGAGAAACAGAUGGACUGGUGUGUGGUGGGAGGAAGCUGUCCUGGUCGAGCUCUGCUUCAGGCCAGUCCUUUCGGAGGUUGAUAACUGAUUUAAGUCAACCAGCUGCUUGAUCCAAAUAAUGCCAAAUGAG
rnacentral:lncRNA from 1 species